UAUCCUCUGCCGUGUUCGACAGCGUGCGCUAACAUACGCCUUGUCCCAUAAACACGACCUGGGAAUCGCGCGCGAUCGCGGUGUGCAUGUCCGCCCUGUUGCGGAAAGCCUGAUGUGAUUGCGCAGGUGCCCACUUGAUCCUAGGGAUCAAGGUCGUUUCGCAAGCAUCGACAUGGCGGAGGAUGC
rfam:Gammaproteobacteria bacterium RIFCSPHIGHO2_12_FTLL_63_22 rifcsphigho2_12_scaffold_123, whole genome shotgun sequence.